CUUCGGAUGCUGACGAGUGGCGAACGGGUGAGUAAUACAUCGGAACGUGCCCGAUCGUGGGGGAUAACGAGGCGAAAGCUUUGCUAAUACCGCAUAAGAUCUAUGGAUGAAAGCAGGGGACCGCAAGGCCUUGCGCGAACGGAGCGGCCGAUGGCAGAUUAGGUAGUUGGUGGGGUAAAGGCUUACCAAGCCUACGAUCUGUAGCUGGUCUGAGAGGACGACCAGCCACACUGGGACUGAGACACGGCCCAGACUCCUACGGGAGGCAGCAGUGGGGAAUUUUGGACAAUGGGCGCAAGCCUGAUCCAGCCAUGCCGCGUGCAGGAUGAAGGCCUUCGGGUUGUAAACUGCUUUUGUACGGAACGAAAAGCCUCUUUCUAAUAAAGAGAGGUCAUGACGGUACC
rnacentral:rRNA from 1 species